UCACCUGCUUCUUGGGGGGCGGGGCCGAGGGCCCGAGAGCGGCGCUGGGGAUCGUCAUGGGAGCAGGGCGCGGGAUCUUGUUGUCGCCGGCAGUGGGCAAUUCGAACACAUCCUCUUCAACGUGGGUCAGCUGGACAACACUGAACACACCCUCUUCACCACGGCUGGAAUAAUCCAUGAGGAACGCGGGCGUCCUACAGCAUCGCUUCCGUCUGCAUCCGGCCAGACGAGGGAAAAGGGCGACGCGCACGUUUGGGGAACACGGAGAGGCGGAAGUCAAGACAUGUCAGGUGCGCUCGUCAGAUGAAGACAUCCGCGAGGCUGCAAGAGGGAAGCAGAAAGUGAU